AUGCCUUACACAUGCAAGUCGGACGGCAGCGCGGGAGCAAUCCUGGCGGCGAGUGGCGAACGGGUGAGUAAUACAUCGGAACAUGUCCAGUAGUGGGGGAUAGCCCGGCGAAAGCCGGAUUAAUACCGCAUACGAUCUGUGGAUGAAAGCGGGGGAUCGCAAGACCUCGCGCUAUUGGGGUGGCCGAUGGCGGAUUAGCUGGUUGGUGGGGUAAAGGCCUACCAAGGCGACGAUCCGUAGCUGGUCUGAGAGGACGACCAGCCACACUGGGACUGAGACACGGCCCAG
rnacentral:rRNA from 2 species